ACCCUUGGCAGAAAACCCUAAAUCCAUCCCCCUUUUCCUAUUAUAAAUAUUCUCAAUCACAAUCAAUCUAUGCCAAAACAAUAGAUAGAGAAUGAUGAAAGAGAAAAAGCAUAGAAGAUGAAAGCAUGAGAUCUGGAAAUUUGUAUGUUCCCUUUGCAAAAUUGGCUUACCUCUUUCUUCAAAAGAGACUUUUCACUCUUUUCCAUCUCAAUAUCAUAUCUUCUUGAUUCUUUCUACUCAAGCUUGAAAAAGGCUAGAUCCAGUCCUUCAACCCCAUUGGUAGGCUUUAUGUUGAAAAGGAGGAAUUAUCAUAAUAAUUAUAAAAGGUCAUGGGCAUGCCCAACUUCAGUUUUUCAAAGAUCCUGUGUGUAGUAGUGGGUUAAGGGGAGUGUAGCGGUAUCCUACCUCUUUCUUUGGUUAUACAUUGGUUUAAGCUCACGAACAUAGAUGAUGAACCGAUAAGGAUGUUGCAGAUGUGAUGAAGGAGCCUCCAUAAGAUGCUCUUAAGCCUCUAAUAAAAGUUAAAUGAACAGGGGCACGAGGUUAAGUUGAGGAACAAGCAGUGGAAGGUUAUCAAGAGGGAACCUAGUCAUAGCUUGAGGAAAGAAACAAGAGCAGAAGAAAAACAAAAUCAAGUAACAAAGUCUCGUGGGCAGAAGAAGGUUUGUUUUGCAGAUGAUAAACCUAGAGCCACAAGUCAGAUUCUUCUUGACCAUGCUAGGAAACGUUCUGAAUAAUCAAUUAGGGGUUCCGUGGCAAUGGGAGCACGAGUUGUGCUUCAGUUAGAAGUACAGGACGACGGUGGGUUAAGAGGACCAAUAUUCAGUUGUCAAAGUCUCUCCAGUUGAUUAUCCGUUUUAUUCAGAGAGUGUUUGUUCUUAAGGUGUUCCAGGAACUAGUAGUUCGUGUCAGUGGGAGCCAUUAGGGACAAAAGAUGGGUCAGAGGCAGUUUUAGGCAUGACUGAUGUGUUGAAGCUCACAACGGGCCUUAAGGUUAACUGACAAGAAGGUCAUUACAGGCAGGAUAAGAUGAAGAAGACUACAAGAGGUAUAAAAGUCCACAACAGAAGGUAGUUUGAAGAUUAUCAAGCCUCUAAGUGGGUGAGUAUUAGAUUAUAUGUAGAGGCUCGAUUUGUCUUGUUUCAUAUAAUUAUAGACCAUUUAUUAGUUUUAUUUGGGAACAAGUUUUGUAACCCUAGUCUGUGAUUAUAAAUAGAUAGCCUUGUACUUGUAAUUAAUCAUCACGGGUGGUGAGGCAUAAAGCAAUAAAAAAUCCUGGUUGCAAACUAUGGACAUAGGUUUCCAUCGAAACCGAAUCAUGUAAA